UGAUCUUGAGCCCCCUUGCUCAUAUAAUCCCUCCUCCCUCUCUUCGACUGCACUCCCAGAGCUCAGCCCAGUGCUUGACUGUGGGUCUCUGCAUCUGCUUCUGUCAGUUACUGGAUGUAGGUUCUAUGAUGACAGUUAGGGUAGUCACCAACCUCAUUACAGAAGAAGGCCAGCUCAGGCACUCUCUCCACUAUUGAUGGUAGCCUAAGCUGGGGUAAUCCUUGUGGAUUCUUGGGAAUUUCCCCAGCACCAGUUCCAUCCAUUUGCCUGCAAAUUUCAUGAUGUCAUUGUUUUUUACCGAGGCUUAGUCCACCACUGUCAUGGCAGGAAGCGGGGCGGCAUGCAG